rnacentral:rRNA from 1 species
UACAGAGGGGGCAAGCGUUGUUCGGAAUUACUGGGCGUAAAGGGCGCGUAGGCGGCCUGUUAAGUCGAACGUGAAAUCCCCGGGCUCAACCCGGGAACUGCGUCCGAUACUGGAUGGCUUGAGAUUGGGAGAGGGAUGCGGAAUUCCAGGUGUAGCGGUGAAAUGCGUAGAUAUCUGGAGGAACACCGGUGGCGAAGGCGGCAUCCUGGACCAACACUGACACUGAGGAGCGAAAGCCAGGGGAGCAAACGGG